GUCUAAUCUGCUACGUUUCCCACAGCUCCCAAGGCAUCCUGGUCUCUCAGGUUCCCCAUGCUGGAAAUAACAAAGUGAACUUUGAUAUGUGUAGAUGUUGCCUCCAACUUACACGGACUCUUAAGAUGCAAGCUGAAGAGAGAUCAUUUUUGUGGUUUUUCCCCUGUUAAAAUGCUGGCAGAGCAUCAGUGAACAGUACUACUAGCAGAAUCAGCCCUUCCUGCCUUUGUUAUUGCCUCAAGCUGAAAAGUCCCCUUGUGUUACACUGCUCGUGCCUGUGCCUUUCUCACUGCGAUCCAAAAAAGAACAGGCAUCUCCUGGUGCAAAAUAACAAGUAAUGGGGAGCUUUGGAAGAUGACAGCUGACACCUUGUUGGAGGAGAAAUUGCUAUAUGAAGCCUUUCAACAUGGAAGAACCAGUUGCUAAGGAGCGUGUGAACCAGAAAGGGUAGAUAAUUCAAAUUUCAUAGCUAGUGGUGCUAUAUCCAUGGGCUGAGUCUCCAGAGAUUUUGGAAGACAGGGUACCGUCUUUGGCUUGGAUUAUAAAAAGGGCACAUUUGAAAGAGUUAGUUAGCAAUAUAUGGCCUCACAGUCUCC
rnacentral:lncRNA from 1 species